rnacentral:lncRNA from 10 species
CAGGACUUGGCCGCGCUGUAGGCCCAGAAGGGAAGGGUCAGGAGGAAGAGGAUGUCUGCCACCGCCAGGUUGAGCAGCAAAUGCCCAGCUCCUCCACUAAACCCCUGACUUGGGAGGCCGUGUGGAGAAGGGAACAGAGCUUUCCUUGGCAGAGAACCUCACCUGGAAAAUGACAAGGAGAGCCACCACCAGCACGCUUUUCAUUGGUUUCCCUGUAGGAGACAAGGCGAGAAAGUUAUUGCUUGGCAGGGACAAGUCUUUGUUAUUAAAGAAAGCAGUGGAGGGGGAGACGCUGUUGGGAACUUUCCUCCCAAGCUCCAGGCACUGUGUUUGCUGAAAGAGAACAUCAGAACCAGAUUGUGCCUUUGAACACCUGGCCUGCUGCCCGGCAUCACUGUCCUCACCUCCUUCUUGUCCUCCUCCACUCCCAGGUCCUGGAAAGAAGCAGCAUCAGAAUGCAGGGCAGCCCCUCCCACCCCCUGUCUUGGCCCAUCUGGGCUGCUUCUUGGAGCUGGGAAGUCUUCUCUAGCCCAGACCACCCCUCAAGACUGAGCUUGGUUGGUGGGUCUGAGUGCCCCCUCCCACUCCACCUGAUGUGGGAUGAGGCGGCAAAGCUAUGAGGUCGUGGGGUAGGUGCACACGUUUCCAGCCCUGCUUUGGUGCUGGUAGCCACUGGCCCAGGAGCAUUUUCCUGGCAUCCAGGUGAGUGCGCAGCCACACGUGCAUGAAGCCAAGCCUGAGUGUCUCCUGAGGGAGGUGGGCUGAGGAAGGAGGAUGACCUCACAGGCUGGGUAGAGGGAUGAGGUUCCUUACUGGUCCACAGCGAUGGAGACUGCCUCAGGGCUCCACCAGCUCCACAACACCCCCUCACUGAAAUGACAUUCAUUCAGCACUGACUGUUGGUCCACUGGGCGCACACCCUUGGCCUGCCUUUGGGACAGAGAUCCCUUCCCUUUUAUCUUGUGCAGGCCCAGAAUUGAGGAGGUGCCCCACAAUUGUGUGCUGAUGAAUAUAUGAAUGAUAAAUACAUGAAUGAUGAAUAAAUACAUGAAUGACAAGUAAACGAAUGCCUGUCCUUUUUCCAAGGGAGAGGGCAUCAA